UACGUAGGGUGCGAGCGUUGUCCGGAAUUAUUGGGCGUAAAGAGCUCGUAGGCGGUGUGUCGCGUCGGCCGUGAAAACCUGCAGCUUAACUGUGGGCUUGCGGUCGAUACGGGCAUCGCUGGAGUGCGGCAGGGAGACUGGAAUUCCUGGUGUAGCGGUGGAAUGCGCAGAUAUCAGGAGGAACACCGGUGGCGAAGGCGGGUCUCUGGGCCGUUACUGGCGCUGGAGGAGCGAAAGCCGUGGGGAGCGAACAGG
rnacentral:rRNA from 1 species